AGUGAACGCUGGCGGUAGGCCUAACACAUGCAAGUCGAACGGCAGCACAGUAAGAGCUUGCUCUUACGGGUGGCGAGUGGCGGACGUGUGAGGAAUACAUCGGAAUCUACUUUUUCGUGGGGGAUAACGUAGGUAAACUUACGCUAAUACCGCAUACGACCUACGGGUGAAAGCAGUGGAUCUUCGCACCUUGCGCGAUUGAAUGAGCCGAUGUCGGAUUAGCUAGUUGGCGGGGUAAAGGCCCACCAAGGCGACGAUCCGUAGCUGGUCUGAGUGGAUGAUCAGCCACACUGGAACUGGGACACGGUCCAGACUCCUACGGGAGGCAGCAGUGGGGAAUAUUGGACAAUGGGCGCAAGCCUGAUCCAGCCAUACCGCGUGGGUGAAGAAGGCCUUCGGGUUGUAAAGACCUUUUGUUGGGAAAGAAAAGCAGCAGGUUAAUACCACGCUGUUCUGACGGUACCCAAAGAAUAAGCACCGGCUAACUUCGUG
rnacentral:rRNA from 1 species